UUGGACUUGGGCCUCUCUCAUUUGAGCCCACAGGUCCACAAAAACCAGGUUAUAAAUUCAGAGUUUCAGUGAAACAAAAGGAGGUCAUUCCUAUUACCCUGGCAGGAAAAAGAAAGUGAGAGAAGACUUGGGCCUCUCUCAUUUGAGCCCACAGGUCCACAAAAACCAGGUUAUAAAUUCAGAGUUUCAGUGAAACAAAAGGAGGUCAUUCCUAUUACCCUGGCAGGAAAAAGAAAGUG
rnacentral:lncRNA from 1 species